AGGCUAUAGAAACCAGGGUUAGGAGACUGUACAGACAUAGAUCUGAAUUCCUUUACCAGUGAUGGGAUGAGGAGGGGACCCCGGGUCUCUCCACUCCCAUGGUGUGGUCUAAUGGUGAAUGUAAGUGCUGUCUGUAAUCCUGACUUUAAAUGCACACAGAGCCAGCAGAGAGCAGCCUAAGUCAUGUGAAAGCAUAGAAAAAUGGUGGUCUUUUUUUUUGUUUUUUGUUUUUAAUUAAUACAUGGCUUAUUUUUUACUGGCCUGGGCUUGGGAAAUGCUGCAAGGGAAUUUUGUCCUAUAGCUUGGGGCUGUCUCCACUGCCUGCAGAGCCACUUUCACAGCUCAGGUGCCAUUUAAUGAAAGAAAUCCAAUUCCACCCGUCAUCAUUUAUUGUAAGGGUCCACCAGAGCUUUUGGUAUCCCUCCAUCACCCCAAGUCAGGAAGCCCUGGGCAGUCAUCCCCCACUGCUGCGCUCCAUCCUGCUCCCCAUGCAUCCUGUGCAGAUGCUGCUCUGUGUGUGACAUGGGACUCGGUGCGCAUUCUCCAUGUCCCUUUGCAUUUGGAUCAUGUCCUCCGAUAAACACUGCUCUGUUCCUCUUGAGGUUUGAAUGGAGAAUGAGCUGUGGGAUUUCAGGCAAAGGCAGCGUUAUUUUGGAGCGCCACAGCCUUCCAAGAGGGAUUUAAGGAGCUCUGAGUGGUUGGGAGAAUAUCUCCUCUCAAAUCUGAACAGGCAGCUCGAUAAGUGCAAAGUUGAAGAAAGUGUCCUCUCCCCCUUGUAUGCCAUUAAUAUUUAGGGCCGGCCCUCAAUUAUUCAUUCCUUCAGGGUGUGCUUUUAUCAUCUCAGUGCUACAGGAUUAGCUUGUGCACUGUCUCUGAGCACUCAGAAAAUACCUUUCCCCAAGAUAUGUGAAACUUCGUAUCUGAGAGGACUUUUGCAGGCAAAAUAUAUGCCAUGCCAUUAGUCGAAGAAAGCAAACCUUCCCCAUCCCCACCCGCAGCUCCUUUCAGACCACACACUGCUGAGCACUGGCAGAUGUGCAGGAUCCAGCUGUGACCUGAGCGCGUUGUCUCCUCCCAUUGCAGCAGCAGGGCACAGCUGGAUGGUCCUGCAGAAACAUCCGGGGGAAGUUUCAUCAUUCCCAGCUGGAAAAGGUACUCCACCAAGUACUUUUCAGACCAGCAUCUGUGGUGGGAUGGAUGGUCCAUCUGAAACUCAUUAUCUAAUGAGAAGGUAUAUCAGGUACAUGACUCAGUCAGCUAACACAGAGGUCAUGGCACAUAUGAAUAUAGGAAGUUUGUCCCAGAUGCUUGCUUCAGCAGCCCAGGGCCAGGCCACGGACCAGUUUCAUGCACCUCCAUUGCCUUUGGCACAGCUGGAUCGUUUGUCUGAGCUGCAGACAGAUCGAAGGAAGUGGUGAUUAAAUACCCGAAUUAUUGACAUCCGCACUGUAAAUAUCAGACUUGUUAAUAGCCUGUCUUCAUGCUGGGUCUCAAAGCCUGACAGUCAUCUUGCUAAGAUAACCAUAAUCAAACCACAUGUUUUGGAGCACAGCUUGAUCAGGGCAGGGGCUGGGAAGAAUCCUGUUUCAUUUACUCUAAUUUUCUUUUUAUUUAAUUAAGCAAAGUUUACUGUGGAUUUAGCAUUGCCUUUCUCCCCUCAGGAGCCUGAGCUGCGAGAGGCAUGCAAGCACCAUGCUGCUGCAAUCACUGCAAUGACAGAGUGGGUCAAAACAAGGAAAAAGCAGGAGGAUGAAUGUCCCCACCACCACUCCGCCAAAAUUGGGCAGAAUCAAUUUCUACGCUUCUCAAUCCUGAACGGUGUGUAGGUGGCAUCUCUGGCACAAAGCUGGAUGCCAAUUCAUCUGUCUGUGCUGGAGAGGUGGGAGAUUUUGGCUGCCUUCGCUUCCAGUGGGGAAAAAGAGAAGCUUCUCAAGGAUGUCUGAUGAGUGAUUCUGAGGGAGUUCUGCAGUAAAUGAGUGAAGAAAUUGCUGGUGCAGGACUGCUGAAUUCCAGAGGUAUGGGAUCUUUUCUUAACCUUGUGUCCAACUCAAUUGACUUCAGUGUGGUUCUUCUAUUUUAAGACUUAUUAUUUCCAAGGCCUUCUUUUAGAGGUUGUUUCUUUUGAGAAGUGGGAAGUUCGGUGUAUGUGCACACGCACACACCCAGGUGCCUACAUACACAUAUGCAUCUGUAUACACACAGACACUCACAGAAAUGUCCUACAUAUAUAUAAUGUUUCAGGCUGAUGGAAAAGUGCCA
ensembl:lncRNA